GAAACUUCUCAGCUGCUUGUAAUAGUAGUGGCUUGGGGAAAUGGAGGUUUGUGCAGGCUUGAGAAAAGUCUGCUCCUCUGAAAUGUAUUAGUGGUGUCUGGGCAGACUGCCAUUAGGUGUGAUAACUAUCAAUGCCUUGGUGUAUGCUGCGAUUGCUGCUGCUUUCCAAUCUUUUUAAUGACCA
rnacentral:misc_RNA from 1 species